CAUAACUAGUCAUGUUUUUCUUUUCCUGCUGACUGAUCAACAGGUAGUGACUUAUUUGUGAUUUCUCUUUACUAUGUUCAUAGAAUCUUGUGUGGUAGCAGUGAAGAGAUAUCCAAGCUGAAGGAACCAGAAAUGCUCAUUCGCCUAAAGGGAAACUCCGCUAACUGCAACAUCCCACAGAAAUGUCCUUAAGAAGAAAUCGUAAAUACUCUUUAACAGACAUUAACUAGCCCUCUGGAAGGACAAACGGCUAUUCAACGUUUGAGUGUUUUACCCCAUGUGAGUAACUUGUGCUUGAUUGUUUCAUAAUAAAUAGCGUAAUUUGAUUAGAUAUUAAUUGCUGAGCCCUCUCACAUAAGUCCCAUUCCACUUUUUAAAAUUUUGAUGUGACUUUUAUCUUUUGGGGGUUUGUUUUUCGUUUGCCCCCUCUCAUUGUCAAACCCCAUGCUUCAACAAAAUGCCACGAAUAAAAAACACUUUCCGAAACCAAAUCAGAUAGAGCAAUAGCCCUGUUAGAUUAACCACAGUUCCUCCCUUGUCAGCUAUAAACAAAAAAAAUCUUUUUUUUUUUUUUUUUUAAUACAAGGAAAGAAUGAACCUUUGACCUUUGUCUCGGACUUAACCAAAAAAGGAAGGAAACUACUCUCGCAUCCAUCCAUGUCAUCUACAUGAUUGUGUAGAAAAUUUUGUUUCCUGAGCUAUCUUGAUCCACAGGGCUUUUUGAUCACUGGGUUAGAAAUUUCUCCUGCACUCUCAUUUUGAGAAUAAAUGGCUUGUGGGCUACCCCCACAACUGUGGGGAGAAAAAAGAAAAUUGAC
rnacentral:lncRNA from 1 species